rnacentral:rRNA from 1 species
CAAUAGCAUAUAUUAAAGUUGUUGCAGUUAAAAAGCUCGUAGUUGGAUUUCUGGCAUGAUGCGCCUGGCCCGCCUCAAUUCUGAGUGUGUGUGCGAGUGCGCGUCUGCCAUCCAUUUGCAGAAUGUGCCUACUCUUCAUUGAGCCGGGUACGUGAUGUAAAUCUUUUACUUUGAAAAAUUAGAGUGUUUAAAGCAGGCUUUUGCUGUGAAUACAUUAGCAUGGAAUAAUAAUCUAGGACUUCGGUUCUAUUUUGUUUGGUUUCUUAGUACUGAAGUAAUGAUUGAUAGGGAUAGUUGGGGGUGGCUAGUAUUGGCCGGCCGAGAGGUGAAAUUCUUGGAUUUGUUAAAGUACGGACUACUGCGAAAGCAUUUGUCCAAGGAUGUUUUCUAUUGAUCAAGAACGAAAGUUAAGGGGAGUCGAAGACGAUUAGAUACCAU